UUUAAAGAAGUAUUCAUGGCAAGGGUAAUAAAGUAUUGGACUGAUGAGAUAUUGAGGCAUUCUUGUCAGAGUACAGAGAUUGCCCCUGGAAGCAGACAUUUAUUUUUUUCCCCCUGAAAUUUACCUUCAGGAGCAUGAAAACACCUUCAUUCCACUGAAGCAUUUCCAUUUCUUCCUUCUUCAUAGAAACUCAUCGUUUCUGUCAUUUAUUUGUAGGUAUUUCUCAGUGCCUGCUAUUAUUUACUUGAGAAAUCAAGGGAAAUCAAAAUUCUACAUAAAUGGUCAUUAAUACUCACUCGGGUGACAAGCCUCUUUCAUUUUUUUCCUCCUUACCCUGUAAAAGUUUUCUUCUAGAAAAUGAAGCUUCAAGAAUUUGCUUCUUCCAACAGUAAUGGGGCUUUUAAGUGAAGAUGUGAAUGACACGAGCUGCUGGAGGGCUGCCCUGGGGGAGCAGCAGAGCUCCCAGGCACCAGAGAUCUGCUCAGUGUGGGAAGUCUGAGGAAUUUGGUCUGGAGCUGCCUUGGAAAUGGAGAGUUGAGAUGUCACUCUGUGUUCUGUAAUAGAGUAACAUCUGUCCACUGAUGACAGCCCCAUCAAACAUUGCUGUGUCUGUUCGCUUCAGUUAAGCAAGUUAAAAUUAUCAGCAGUGGAAUGUUCUUGUUUGUGUUCUUUUUAGCCCUCUGUAGCAAAUACUAAAUGUGCUCUUCCUUCCUGGAAGCUUCUUGUUGUUCUGUUAAUGAGACUUCACACAUUAAAGAGCAUGGUGGAGCCAGGAUGACACACUUGACGUUUUCUUGUUGCUAGGAAAGGAUGAAUCUGCUGUCUAACGUGUUGAUUUUCCUUUUGAAUCUAUCCAAUGUAUCCCAUUAAAAUUUUCCUUCAUUUAAGCUGUAAAAUCAAAUUCUCACUUCCUAGAGCCAAAAGCUGGGGCUCAUUAAUACUCAGAGUGAGCUUAAACCCAUAGUUUAAUAAUUGAAUUAACUUAAAAAGGUAAAUAUACUAAUUUUUUUGUAGUUCACAAGAGGUAUUUUCCCCCUCCUGCAGCAUAAUUUAGAAGGUCUGAUU
rnacentral:lncRNA from 1 species